ACGAACGCUGGCGGCGUGCUUAACCCAUGCAAGUCGAACGGUGAAGCGCCUUCCUUUUUGGUGGGUGUGGAUGAGUGGCGAACGGGUGAGUAACACGUGAGUAACCUGCCCCCUUCUUCUGGAUAACCGCAUGAAAGUGUGGCUAAUACGGGAUAUUCUGGGUCUGUCGCAUGAUGGGUCUGGGAAAGAUAUUGUUUCGGUGGGGGAUGGGCUCGCGGCCUAUCAGCUUGUUGGUGGGGUGAUGGCCUACCAAGGCGGUGUCGGGUAGCCGGGCUGAGAGGGUGGACGGUCGCACUGGGACGGAGACACGGCCCAGACUCCUACGGGAGGCAGCGGUGGGGAAUAUUGCACAAUGGGCGCAAGCCUGAUGCAGCGACGCCGCGUGAGGGAUGGAGGCCGUCGGGUUGUGAACCUCUUUCGCCAGUGAAGCAGGCCUGCCUCGUUUGUGGGUGGGUUGACGGUAGCUGGAUAAGAAGCGCCGGCUAACUACGUG
rnacentral:rRNA from 1 species